rnacentral:rRNA from 1 species
AGCGAACGCUGGCGGCAGGCUCAACACAUGCAAGUCGAGCGGGCAUCCUUGUGGUGUCAGCGGCAGACGGGUGAGUAACGCGUGGGAACGUGCCCUUCGGUUCGGAAUAACUCAGGGAAACUUGAGCUAAUACCGGAUACGUGCGAGAGCAGAAAGGUUUAUCUGCCGAAGGAUCGGCCCGCGUCUGAUUAGCUAGUUGGUGAGGUUACGGCUCACCAAGGCGACGAUCAGUAGCUGGUCUGAGAGGAUGAUCAGCCACACUGGGACUGAGACACGGCCCAGACUCCUACGGGAGGCAGCAGUGGGGAAUAUUGGACAAUGGGGGCAACCCUGAUCCAGCCAUGCCGCGUGAGUGAUGACGGCCUUAGGGUUGUAAAGCUCUUUUCUCCGGGACGAUAAUGACGGUACCGGAGGAAUAAGCCCCGGCUAACUUCGUG